ACUUAAAUAGCUCAAGGAUAGAGUAUGAUAUUGAAGAUAUUAAGGUAAUAUAUAAUUAUAUUUUUAAGUA
rnacentral:tRNA from 1 species